UGUGUGUUAGUGGAAGCGUCUGGAAAGGCGCGCGAUACAGGGUGACAGCCCCGUACACAAAAAUGCACAUGCUGUGAGCUCGAUGAGUAGGGCGGGACACGUGGUAUCCUGUCUGAAUAUGGGGGGACCAUCCUCCAAGGCUAAAUACUCCUGACUGACCGAUAGUGAACCAGUACCGUGAGGGAAAGGCGAAAAGAACCCCGGCGAGGGGAGUGAAAAAGAACCUGAAACCGUGUACGUACAAGCAGUGGGAGCACGCUUAGGCGUGUGACUGCGUACCUUUUGUAUAAUGGGUCAGCGACUUAUAUUCUGUAGCAAGGUUAACCGAAUAGGGGAGCCGAAGGGAAACCGAGUCUUAACUGGGCGUUAAGUUGCAGGGUAUAGACCCGAAACCCGGUGAUCUAGCCAUGGGCAGGUUGAAGGUUGGGUAACACUAACUGGAGGACCGAACCGACUAAUGUUGAAAAAUUAGCGGAUGACUUGUGGCUGGGGGUGAAAGGCCAAUCAAACCGGGAGAUAGCUGGUUCUCCCCGAAAGCUAUUUAGGUAGCGCCUCGUGAACUCAUCUCCGGGGGUAGAGCACUGUUUCGGCAAGGGGGUCAUCCCGACUUACCAACCCGAUGCAAACUGCGAAUACCGGAGAAUGUUAUCACGGGAGACACACGGCGGGUGCUAACGUCCGUCGUGAAGAGGGAAACAACCCAGACCGCCAGCUAAGGUCCCAAAGUCAUGGUUAAGUGGGAAACGAUGUGGGAAGGCCCAGACAGCCAGGAUGUUGGCUUAGAAGCAGCCAUCAUUUAAAGAAAGCGUAAUAGCUCACUGGUCGAGUCGGCCUGCGCGGAAGAUGUAACGGGGCUAAACCAUGCACCGAAGCUGCGGCAGCGACACUGUGUGUUGUUGGGUAGGGGAGCGUUCUGUAAGCCUG
rnacentral:rRNA from 1 species